CAGAGGUGUGACUUUGAAACCCGAGUUCAGGACUACAGGCCAGGAAACUCUGAGCUUAAAUUCAGUCCUGGCGACAGCUGCAAAAUCUAGGACCCAGGAGGGUACCACUCAUACUCAAGGUGGAUCUUCCCCCUCAGUUGAACCUCUCCAGAAACACAUUCACAGAUUUCCAUCUAUGGCUGUUCCUGAGCCUCACAUGGUCUCUCUAAGCAGACAGAGAAAGUACGACGCCAUGGCCCCACAACCCUCGUGCCUUCAUGGUGGCUCCAAACGAGAAAGCUGCCUGCAAGGCAACCGCCAGGAUGCUCUGUUGUCUGCAUUUCGCUGCGUUAGCGACAAGGCUGCAGAAGCAGUCUGCCAGCUCUUCCACCUCCUCUUCCUCUUCUUCCUCCUCCUCUACUUCAUCCUUUGCCCCCUCCCCCUCCCCCUCUCCCUCCUCCUACUUUGAGACAGGAGCUUGUUUUGUAGCCCAGGCUUGACUGGGACUAUGGCUCCUCCUGCCUCAGACUCCCCAAGUAUUACAUUUGCAGCCACAGGCCCUACAAAACCACUUUCCUGACAUACAGAGUUGCUAUCCAAAAGCACGUAAACAGCGGACGCUUUCCAACUUAAUUGUGUAGUAAUUCAACUCAGUUUUUCUUUUUUAACAUUUCAAUUCAAUACAGAUGCUUCUCAGAACUGACUUACAAAGUUAGGCUUUGUGAUUCUGACCAAGGUGGUGUCAAACAGAAAGAAUAUAUUUCAUUUAUUCAUUCAAGUAUCAAGCUUUUUACUGAGUAUGGUUGAUCUUACCUGUAAUUCCAGCACAUACUUGGGAGGCAGAGGCAGGAGGAUUGCUGGGAAUCUGAGGCCACUCUGGGUUACAGAGUUAAGUUGUAGACCCACCGGCCUUGGCUAGAGAGUAAGACUGUCACAAAUAAAUAGCUUGUGCUCUGUGCCAGGCACUGCUCUAAAUAUUAAGGAAUUAGCGAUGGACAAGAGAAAGUCCCUGUUGUCAUUGAGUUUACUUUCUCAUGCAGAACGAGAAACAACUACAAUUUGAAAACUGGAAGGAAAUAGUUCUUCCCAGAGCGUUGAAGGCGUGUUGCACAGAUAGGUCUUCCAUGGCUAUUUGAGACAGAGUGGUCAGGUGAGUUCUCAGGAAGGAGCAUUUAGGAGAGAUGUGAAGGAUAAAGACAGAGCCAGCCAAGCUCAAGGGAACAGCAUUCCUGGCAAGGGAAUAACUAAUACCAAACCAUCAUAGCAGGAAUGGGAAGGAGGCUACUCUGGCUGGGACACACUGUGGUCAGAGGUAAACCAGCUCUGUUUGCAAAAGGCUUUGGGAGCAAAAGGGAGGGCUACUGUAGGUGGGAUGGGAAGGUUCUGGAGAGUUUAUCUUAUUUCUGCUUUUGUUUGAGAUUGUGUCUUGCUAUGUAGCCCAGGCUGACCUCGAUUUCACAGCACCCCCUCCUUCCUUGGUGCUGCCAUGCUCAGCUUAUUGGGGAGUUUUAACCAGUUGGUGAGGAGGUUGGAUUUGCUGUUUUGUUUGGUUGGUUCUUCGGUUGUCAUUGUUUUUGGAACUAAAUCUCAUGUAGCCCAGCCUGGCUUCGAGCUCCCAGCAAUCUCAAACUCACAGUAUUCUGUGUGCUUCACUCUUCCCAGUGCUGGGAUCACAGGUACGUACCACUAUACUCACCUUUUCUGAAUUCUGGGUGGCCAAGCAUACAAAUGCAAAUGCAGGGUAGACAGUUACAUAAGGGAGUUCAGAGAUGUUAGGGACUAGUUAUACAGAUUUGAGCAUCAUUGAUCCAGAAGUGUACGUCAAAUCGUGGGACUCAAUGAACCCCCAGGUGGAAGAUAUGAACAGAGAAAAAAAAAGUUGUGAUCUAUGUCUUUAGAGCCCACCUACCAUCAGAGAUCUGAUGAAGAAGAGGGAGCAGACAAAUAACACAGGAGAGCAGAGAAGCUUAGUAUGGUGGUGAAUGCCUAUAACCUGAGUUACCCAAGAGAGUAGUUGAGAAUCAUGAGUUCAAGGACAACCUGGGACAUAUAGGAAGAUUCUGUCUCUGCAUUUCCAAAAGGAGAACUGGGCAAGCUUAUUGGCUGACUUCUCUAGCAUGUGUGCCUCAGUUAGAUUCCAAGUACAGAAAAACAAAACAGAAUUAACUAGCCAGUGUGUAAGAAAGGGGAAGAAUAGGAAAAGUUAGGUGACCCUAGAGUCCUGGAAGCCUUCAGAAGGAGUGGUCACAAAGUCAAAAACUGCUGAGAGGUCCAGAAAGCCAGGGUCUUAAAAACCAUCUCAGGAUAUGUAGGGGAUGAGGCCCACUAGGGUGAGAAAGCAGUCAGCCGGCAUAGGUGAUUUGUUUGAGUUUUGUUUUAAUAGGAGUUGGAGAAGGCAUGUUAUGUCAAGAGAGAGCAUGGCCCUGGAGGAACGACUUGCCAGUUAAGGACUCUUUCUGCUCUUGAAGAGGACCGGAGUUGUGUUCCAAGCACCCACAAGGAACAACUCACAACCCCUGCAACUCUAGCUUCAGGGGAUCUAACACCCUUCACUGGCUCCGCCUGCACCUGCAGAAAUGUGGCAUAUACUAAUACAGACACUAUAAAUUAAAACAUUUUCCAGAGAGACUGCGGGGGCUCAGCAGAUAAGGGUGCUUGUCACAAAGCUGACAAACCUGAAUUCAAUCCUUAGGAUCCAAAUUGUGGAAGGAGAGGAGCAAUUCCUACAAGCUCCUACAAGGAGCAAUUCUCGUACCUUUGUGCUAGCACCAUAGCUAAAAUAAAAAAAGAAAAUGGGACGGCAUACAUAUGUGCAGGGUUUUGAAUGAAGAGGGAAAAUUAGGGAGUUUUGAGAUGGGGAAGAGUUUGAACUUUGGUUCCUACUCUUAGAAAGGUUAUGAUAACAUCUGGCAGAAACAAUACUAAUGACAAAAGCUUUAUGCUUGACUGGGGCUGCUAUUAUUCUAGCAUUAGGAAGGUGGAGCCGGAAGUCCAGGACAGCU